UUUACUAUAUCGUACCCUUAUAUGGUUUUCAUGGAUUUCUGUUUGUAUCAAUUGCAUGACUUUGAGAGUAAUUGUCGGAGUUUAAAUUAUUAAGCACAAUCAUGGGGUAAAGCGAGAGCAGACUUCCCGUAUAUGCACAGCAACGGCUACAACCGAGAAUUCUGCUACGUCCCAUAUAUUCACGCCAACGGAUAGCAUAAAUCUCUAAUUACUCUUGUAAUUAUUUCCUUGUACAUACAAACACUCUUAACAGUAAUAUGCUUUCUAAUCCGUGUAUACCUCUUGUAGCAUGAAUAUAUACAUAUAUAGAUAUAUAUGAAUAAAAAGACUCUCAAACACUCUCACUGUGUAUGAAUUAUUUUCACAAACACAAGGUUUUCAAUUUCUUCAUAGAUUUGCUUCUUGCUGGCUAUGACCCCAAGAAGAAGCCUGCAGAAGAGACGCUCUCAUUCUCUCUCGCACGUGAUAACUUUAGGAAGGUCUAUACGGAAGCUCAUUCUGGUUCAAAGGAUUUAAAACGGUUGCAAUUGAUGGUGUUGAGAAGUGGAAAUCCUUGACUGACGAGGUGAGUUUUCAAUUAUUUUGGUUCCUUCAAAGUUGAAUGCCAAAUUCUAUGAAAACAAGGUUUACCAGAAUAAAGCUUCCGAGCUUAAGGCGGAGUAUGACCGGGCCUCUAGGAGAGUUACGAUGCUGAAGAUGAAGAUGUAGGUCAUCAGUUUUAGAUAUCGCAAAGUUAGUACUUUUGAUUCUGAGCUCAUUUUACUUGAACUAUGAUAUUUUUUUUUUCCUAGUGUGUAGUUUCUAAUUUUGGUCAUUUAGGCUAUUUAUAUUGGUUUCGUUUUGAACAAGCGGCUUCCUUUUCUUACCUUCGGAGGCUGAUGAGGUUCAGGGAAGGAGCAUCUGAAGUAGAGCAGGACAGAUUGCAUGUUGAUUUUUCAUGUCUGAUGAUUAGUUCUUGUGUCUUGUAAAUUUAGAUUUGGUUUAGUCUAGUAGUUUCGAGGGUAGAUAUUAAGGGUUUUCUUAAGGGUUAUAUUUUUGGUUGGUUUGGGGUAUCAUAUGUAUUUCAUCUUAGAAUGUAAUACUUGUUGGUUAACUUGCCAAGCAUGUGGCUUAACUCAUUUCCUUGAUAUAUCGUAUUAUGGUUGUCCUGGGUGGCUGUUUCUUCUU